rnacentral:rRNA from 1 species
CACGUAGGGGGCAAGCGUUGUCCGGAUUUAUUGGGCGUAAAGAGCUCGUAGGCGGUUCGGUAAGUUGGGUGUGAAACCUCCAGGCUCAACCUGGAGACGCCACCCGAUACUGCUGUGACUAGAGUCCGGUAGGGGAGCGUGGAAUUCCUGGUGUAGCGGUGAAAUGCGCAGAUAUCAGGAGGAACACCAGCGGCGAAGGCGGCGCUCUGGGCCGGAACUGACGCUGAGGAGCGAAAGCGUGGGUAGCAAA